CAGGCACUGGAAGCUUAUCUACCUUCUCCAACUCCAGGGUACCACCAAGGAGAGCAAAAUCCAGAAACAAGGGGCACCUGCAAAGUGGUGGAGGAAAGAGGAGGAAAGGAAUGUCUGCCCCAAGCCCAGCCCCAGGGUCAGAUGCCGGGAAAAAUUCCUGGGAUUAUUUGGUGCUGUAUGAGAUGGAUCUGGAGCCACCCUGGCUCCAAGAGGGAUGUGGGCCUACAUCCCAUUGCCUGUUUCUGUCCAGAUGGAAAGUCACACCCUCAAGAAGGCCCCUGGGGAAGACAGAUUGUCUGGGAUGUGGAUGAGG
rnacentral:lncRNA from 10 species